rnacentral:rRNA from 1 species
GUACGUAGGGGGCUAGCGUUGUCCGGAUUUAUUGGGCGUAAAGAGCGUGUAGGCGGCCAGGUAGGUCUGCUGUGAAAACUCGAGGCUCAACCUCGAGACGUCGGCGGAAACCAUCUGGCUAGAGUCCGGAAGAGGGAGAGUGGAAUUCCCCGGUGUGAGCGGUGAAAUGCGCAGAUAUCGGGAAGAACACCCGUGGCGAAGGCGGCUCUCGUGGGACGGUACUGACGCUGAGACGCGAAAGCGUGGGGAGCGAACAGG